rnacentral:rRNA from 1 species
UGCUCGAGUGGCGAACGGGUGAGUAACACGUGGGUGAUCUGCCCUGCACUUCGGGAUAAGCUUGGGAAACUGGGUCUAAUACCGGAUAGGACCAUCGUUUAGUGUCGGUGGUGGAAAGUUUUUUCGGUGUGGGAUGAGCUCGCGGCCUAUCAGCUUGUUGGUGGGGUAAUGGCCUACCAAGGCGUCGACGGGUAGCCGGCCUGAGAGGGUGUACGGCCACAUUGGGACUGAGAUACGGCCCAU